UCGAAUCAUGUUGUCAAAAAUGAACAACAACAAGAUAUAAAUUAGUCGAGAUGUGGUCUUCAUCGUUGAAGAAGAAAAAUUUAGAGAAGUUGAACAAGUGUCACGCUUACCAAAAUUUUCCACUUCUGUAGACAUUAGGAGGGAAAGGAUCGUGAUAUGCACACGUAGUAUCACCUCGAUGACUUAAAGAUCUCUAUGAGGAAAUUGAGGAAAUGGAUAAUCCACAUUAUUAUGUCUCUCAUACACAAACUUAGAAGCAAUUACAAAAGAUAAGAAUAGAACACAUAAACUCGACACCCUUCUAAAAAAGCAUAAGGCUACCAAUGUCUAGAAAGUGUGCAAUGAAGGACACAAGGAAAGAAUAGUUGCAAAAGGCUACACUGAAAAGAUUGAUUGAAAUAUAGUAUUUUUCGCAAGUCGCUCAUCAAAAUACCGUAAGAAUAGUACUCUCACGAGUUGAAAAACACGAGUUGAGAGCUCCUCAUAUGGACAAGAAGUGUGCCUUUUUGAAUGGAGUCCUAUAGAAAGAACUAUACAUUUAGAAACCAUUGGGAUACAAAGUAAAAAGCGAGAGGGAAACAAGAUAUUACUGUUGAAAAUAUUAUUAGGAAAUAGAUUUCGGAAAGAUAGAAGAGAGAUGUUGCACCGUGGAAAAAGCCACUGAAAUGAAAGCAAAUUUUCAUCGACAAGAAGUAUGCCUUUUUGAAUGGAGUCCUAUAGGG
rnacentral:lncRNA from 1 species